rnacentral:rRNA from 1 species
UACGGAGGGUGCGAGCGUUGUCCGGAUUUAUUGGGUUUAAAGGGUGCGUAGGCGGCCUUAUAAGUCCGGGGUGAAAGCCCGCUGCUCAACACCAGAACUGCCCUGGAUACUGUGAGGCUUGAGUACAGACGAGGUUGGUGGAAUGGCCCGAGUAGCGGUGAAAUGCAUAGAUACGGGCAAGAACCCCGAUUGCGAAGGCAGCUGACUAGGCUGUUACUGACGCUGAGGUACGAAAGCGUGGGGAGCGAACAGG